rnacentral:rRNA from 1 species
ACGGGAGGCAGCAGUGGGGAAUAUUGGGCAAUGGGCGGAAGCCUGACCCAGCAACGCCGCGUGAGGGAAGAAGGUUUUCGGAUUGUAAACCUCUGUCCUUGGUGACGAAGGAAGUGACGGUAGCCAAGGAGGAAGCCCCGGCUAACUACGUGCCAGCAGCCGCGGUAAUACGUAGGGGGCGAGCGUUGUCCGGAAUGAUUGGGCGUAAAGGGCGCGUAGGCGGCCUGUUAAGUCUGGAGUGAAAGUCCUGCUUUUAAGGUGGGAAUUGCUUUGGAUACUGAUGGGCUUGAGUGCAGGAGAGGUAAGUGGAAUUCCCAGUGUAGCGGUGAAAUGCGUAGAGAUUGGGAGGAACACCAGUGGCGAAGGCGACUUACUGGACUGUAACUGAUGCUGAGGCGCGAAAGUGUGGGGAGCAAACAGGAUUAGAUACCCUGGUA